rnacentral:rRNA from 1 species
AACGUAGGUCACAAGCGUUGUCCGGAAUUACUGGGUGUAAAGGGAGCGCAGGCGGGCGAUCAAGUUGGAAGUGAAAUCCAUGGGCUCAACCCAUGAACUGCUUUCAAAACUGGUCGUCUUGAGUAGUGCAGAGGUAGGCGGAAUUCCCGGUGUAGCGGUGGAAUGCGUAGAUAUCGGGAGGAACACCAGUGGCGAAAGCGGCCUACUGGGCACCAACUGACGCUGAGGCUCGAAAGUGUGGGUAGCAAACAGG